AUCCAGCUCACGAGUCCCAAAUAGGACGAAAUGUGCGUCCAACUGGAU
rfam:Schistosoma curassoni strain Dakar, Senegal genome assembly, scaffold: SCTD_scaffold0000099